AGUUAAGCGCGCUUGGGCUAGAGUAGUACUGGGAUGGGUGACCUCCCGGGAAGUCCUAGUGUUGCACCCU
rnacentral:rRNA from 1 species